UCUAAUCAGGAUCAAAGCAGCUUCACCUUAAGGGAAAAGAGGAAGAUGGGAAUCAAAUGUGGCAGCAGAGUGGCUUUAAAUAAUCAUAUAAUUUAUCCCAUGAAAAUCAUUUCUGGUAAGGGAAACAAUUACUUCUUAAUGUGAUAAUGAAAGAAAUUAUCACAGAUUUUUCUUGUCUCAUGCUGCUUAUGAUUAUUUUGAAAAUAACAGUUCAAGAGAUAGACUGUUUUCUUAUGGGAGUCACUGGUGGUGGCACUUGAUGGUGCUGAAGCUUCAACGAAAACCGUAGCCUGAGAAGCAGAUGCUUGAAUUACACAAGUACUUCUCUUUCUAGAACAAAAACUUCCUCUUCUCAACAAUCCACACAUCAACCUUGAAACCUUGGACACUGAUCUAAAGGAAAAAUUGCCCAUAAUCAGGAAACAAUCAGGAAGUUUGUUAGGAGUUACAUCAACGGAGUUAUGCCAACUAUAACAUACAGGACCAAUGUCACGACCUGAAUUAGGUCUGUGACCGGCGCUAAGGGGAAAGAAUCCCAAAGCAAGCCUUAACAUAAAUCUACAGAAAAUCGGGCAAAGUUUCCUUGUUUUAGGCCUAUCCUGAAUUUUUUCUAUCUCAGAAAUUCACAACACAGCCAAUAGCAACUACAAGCCACAACAUAAUAUCCUUCAAUGAUCUAAUUGUCACGCCAUAAACACAAUUCAUCUCCAAAUUACAAAAACAAGUUCCAACUGGUCACUUGACUACAAUACGAAGGGCUAAUCAUGACUCAAAUAAAAGGAAUGACAAAUGGAGCGACUCUAAGAGUUUUUAAAGAAACUAAAUAAACCAUAGCAAAUCAAUAGUUCUCUUGCCACGCGAAGCAAUGCGAGGCUCACUAGAUUCUACCAAAUCACACUUUCUAGUUAAUGAAAUCCUCUUCAAUACCACCUGAGUUCUCUGUAAAAACAAUUAGCGAGGAGUGAGACGCUAGCUCAGUGAGUAAUAAACACUUAACCACAACCAUUUUUAAUAAGGGACAAGUCAGAAAACAUUGCUAGUAUAAUAAUCAAAAUCAUAUAAUAAUGUCUUUUCAGAAACAGUAACAAUAUUCAAUCUUAUUUGCCUCAUAUAAGCAAAAUCAAUGUAAAUACUUAAUAGUAAAUUCAGAAAAACAUUUCCAUAUCAAAUCUUAUUGUUGGGAGGUUUCCAAAGAUGAAUCAUGUAAUCAGUGUGGCCUUCUCUUUAAGAAGUAACCAAUAACAGUGAACUCCUCAUAAAGGAGUUAAAUAUUCAUAUCAGUAGAUCCCUACAAGAGGGAUAUCAGUAACAGUAUACUAGUUCUACCUUCCCACUAGCAAGGGCUUUAUCAGAAAUCAGUAACUACAAGGUGCACCAGGUCUAACGAACCCGCCGUUAGCUACGGGAUUCAUCAAGGUCUACUCCCAUUUAUAUUUUUCUUGUAAUCAGUAGAAGCAUUUCAAAAUCGAACAGAGCAUUUAAAUCUUAUCAAAUCAUAUCAUUUCAAAGUUUAACAAUCACUUGUCAAAAUACUAUUUCUCAAAUAAGUAUAAAACCUUUUCAAUAACAAUAAUCAUAUCUUGUAAGAAUGAGAUCAUCUCAAAUAAUCUUUUCAGUAUCAUAUCAGUAAAAGACUUGUCCCACAUGCAAGUUCAAAACAGUCGGUAACACAUUUACUUUAUAAACCAUGUAAAAAUCAUGAAAUUUGUGAAAAACAAAUUGUGGUAAGAUUACUACUCACAGUACUCAUGCCGAAAUACCAAGCUCAUCACUCUAGUGAUCCGUACGAAUUCCUUUAAUCAAUCUAUAAACACAUUCAUAUCAAUUUCGAGUUAAUCUCCUUGUUAAGGCUAAUUCAUAAACUAAGAUAAAUAUUUUUCAACCAUUUUUGGAUCUUCUUGUCCAUCAAAUUGCUAAAUUAUAAUUAUCCUAGGUCAUAAGUAAUUUUCAUUGAUGCACAAUCUCCUAACGUCAGCCAAUUUACAUAACUUGUUCAUUUACUUCUGUCCCAAAUUACAACUUACUGUCUAACUCGUUGUCUCCGAUAAUAAAACUUCAGCAUCCGAAAUAGAUUUUCUAGACUAAGAAUUUCUCAUGGCAAAGCUACUAAAGAUUGUGGCAAGGCUGUUAAGGAUCAAGGUGAAGGUGUAAAGGAAUACGAUUUACCUCAACCUGUUUAAAUCUGUUGAAUCCUUCUCUUCUUUCUAUGUAUACCCCCCUUGCUUCGCACUGCCUCUCUUUCUUCUCUAUCUAUUCAAACUGCUUUCUUCCUUUAUUAUUGUUGUACGCUGAUUUCCCAAUCCCUACUCCCUGUUCUCUUUCUUCUUCUUCUUUUUUCGUUAAUUUGCCACAGCCCUUCGCUGCUUUGGGCCUUUAGCCCACUAUUCU
rnacentral:lncRNA from 1 species